AGGUCCUCUGAUCUGAGAGUCGCUGGAGAGAAUUUGUGUGGGGUGGGAACGACAGGAUCUUAUGCUAAAGGAAAUCAAGGGCAACCCCAAACAUCAUUACUAAAUCCUCUAACUUUUAAUUUCUAAUUUUUAAAACAUGGCUUGCAGUAAACAACAACAGAAAAAAAAAAGCUUGUUAAAACCCAGCCCAGUACUACACUACUUUAACCAGCUGCUACAAAAAGGCAGAAACUAGGAUUCAGGGCUUGAAGGAUGAAAUCAUUUAGCACAGCUCUAAGCACCCAGGGGGUGUCCAAUAAAUCUAAAUUGAUGAUGACUGAGAUGAGGUUCCCAGGUUCCCGAUCUGGCAGGGCCCUCCUGAGAUCACAUCAUCCAUCGCUCUGUCUUCACACAGAUUCCGUGAAAGUCGAGCCCACACGAGCAGGCCACCCCCAGCGCUGCUUUUAAAGCCAUACAGGAAGCACAGGUUCACAACCUCUCUUGGUUACUUGAUCCCGGCGGGAUUCUGCGUGGUGAGGGGUUGGGGGAGGGGAAGAGUUUUUCUUCUGAGCCUUUAUAAUCAUGACAUUGAGGGGUCUGAUAAGCAACUCUUGGAAGGAGAUGGCAGGGAAAUAGAAGAAAGCAACAGAGAAGGGAAAAUACUGCUAGCUCUCAGAGGAAAGGGUCAGGGACAGUGAGUGAGGCUGGGGGAGGCGGGGCAGGCAACCAGGGGCAGAAGAAUCAGAUGAUCAGUCAGAGAAACUGAAAGGGCUGAAAAGUUUAGGGAGAAAAUAGAAAAA
rnacentral:lncRNA from 1 species